rnacentral:rRNA from 1 species
UCGAGCGGAUGACAGGAGCUUGCUCCUGAAUUCAGCGGCGGACGGGUGAGUAAAGCCUAGGAAUCUGCCUGGUAGUGGGGGACAACGUUUCGAAAGGAACGCUAAUACCGCAUACGUCCUACGGGAGAAAGCAGGGGACCUUCGGGCCUUGCGCUAUCAGAUGAGCCUAGGUCGGAUUAGCUAGUUGGUGAGGUAAUGGCUCACCAAGGCGACGAUCCGUAACUGGUCUGAGAGGAUGAUCAGUCACACUGGAACUGAGACACGGUCCAGACUCCUACGGGAGGCAGCAGUGGGGAAUAUUGGACAAUGGGCGAAAGCCUGAUCCAGCCAUGCCGCGUGUGUGAAGAAGGUCUUCGGAUUGUAAAGCACUUUAAGUUGGGAGGAAGGGCAUUAACCUAAUACGUUAGUGUUUUGACGUUACCGACAGAAUAAGCACCGGCUAACUCUGUGCCAGCAGCCGCGGUAAUACAGAGGGUGCAAGCGUUAAUCGGAAUUACUG